AAAUUUUGUUAUUUUUAUCAUUUAAGAUUUUUUUAAUUUAUUUGAAACCCAACUUCUACUUAUUUACUCAUUGCCCAAUUGCACCCCCACCAAUCUCACGCAUCCUCUCAUCCUCAUUUUCGUUUCACUUCCUCUCCUUUGUUCUUUCUUUCCUUUUUUUUUUUCUUUCAUUUGUCUCUUUUCCAUUUUUCUUUUGGGCUUCCAUUGAUGUUGAUCUCUGGUAUGGAGGAGCGUGAAUCAGUGGAGCGAGAAGGAAAAAAGAAGAUGCAAAAGGAGAAGCAGAAAACCGAGUACGAGUUUUGCAAAGCGUGCAACAUAAACCACGACCAAGGUCUCUGCCACAAGUACUUCCCUAACCACAAAAAAUCCCAUUCCAGCUUCCUAUCCCGAUUUCGUAAAAAACUCUUUGACAUUCGCUUCUUCCUUAACGCCCUUAUCCCUCUCGAUCCGCAACUCGUCUUCUCGCAAUCGCUUAUGAUGUGUCUUCUGCAACCAAGACAUCCACGAACAUUCCAGUUCCUUUGCCUGUUCUUGUGAUAGCGCCAAUGCGAUUCGCUACCUCGCUAGACCCAACACGUGAAGAAUUUGAGGCAUUUCUUCUGGAAAUAUGGCGCUGCCGCGAAUCAAUUCGACGCGUUUUUCGAUGAUGAUGUGGCUAAGGCAAUCCCCAAAUUGUAUCUGUUUUAUUUUGUGUUUGCUUGCAGGUUUGGGAAAUUGAGAAAUAAUUGUUAAUGAGUGUAGCUCCCUCUACCACCACUAAAUGCUCCAUUUACCACCUCAUAUUCAAUUUAUCUUUGGUAUAAAAUGGAUGUAAACAUCGUUUUAUCUUCAUUCAAUGGAUAUUGAUAUAACUAAACGGACGUUGACAUCCGUUUACCUAUUUUUUUA